GACGAACGCUGGCGGCGUGCUUAACACAUGCAAGUCGAACGGAAAGGCUCCAGCUUGCUGGAGUACUCGAGUGGCGAACGGGUGAGUAACACGUGGGUAAUCUGCCCUGCACUCUGGGAUAAGCCUGGGAAACUGGGUCUAAUACUGGAUAUGACCUUUCUCCUUAUGGGGUUUGGUGGUAAGUUUUACGGUGUAGGAUGAGCCCGCGGCGUCUCAGCUUGUUGGUGGGGUGAUGGCCUACCAAGGCGACGACGGGUAGCCGGCCUGAGCGGGUGAUCGGCCACGUUGGGACUGAGAUACGGCCCAGACUCCUACGGGAGUCAGCAGUGGGGAAUAUUGCACAAUGGGCGGAAGCCUGAUGCAGCGACGCCGCGUGAGGGGUGACGGCCUUCGGGUUGUAAACCUCUUUCAGCAGGGACGAAGCGUAAGUGACGGUACCUGCAGAAGAAGCGCCGGCUAACUAUGUG
rnacentral:rRNA from 1 species